GGAAGGGAGGGGUAAUCUGGCUUUGACAUCUGUCAUCCUAUUGAUUGCCAGGGUUGAUUUGGCUGAUCUGACUGGCUAGGCAGGUGUCCCCUUCCUCCUUCACUGCUCUAUGUGUGCCCCUCCUGAAGUUGCGUACUUGGUCAAAGAGGAUGGCUUUCCCUAGAGAUGGACUGGUGUAGGAGUACAGGAUACAGAAGUAGCUGCACUCCCCUGCUAGAAUCUUCAACAAGCUUUCAAGAUGAAGCAAUAAGAUGACCCAGGAGGUGGCGUAGUGGAUCUAGCAUUUGGACUCUCAAGCAUGAGUUGGAUUCCUAGCAUCACUGU
rnacentral:snRNA from 1 species